rnacentral:rRNA from 1 species
GACGAACGCUGGCGGCGUGCCUAAUACAUGCAAGUCGAGCGCAGUGGGGACGGGUGAUUAACACGUGGUUAACCUCCCAUCAGAGGGGAUAACACUUGGAAACAGGUGCUAAUCCGAUACUGAUGGCUUGACCCGCGGUGCAUUAGCUAGUUGGUGAGGUAACUGCUCACCAAGGUAACGAUGCAUAGCUGACGUGAGAGGAUGGUAAGCCACACUGGGAUUGAGACACGGCCCAGACUACUACGGGAGGCAGGAGAGGGGAAUGUUCGGCAAGGGACGAAAGUCUGACCGAGCAAUGCCGCGUGAGUGAAGAAGGUUUGGGGAUCGUAAAACUCUGUUGUUAGAGAAGCGGUAUCUAACCAGAAAGCCACGGCUAACUACGUGCCAGCCGCCGCGGUAAUAC